rnacentral:rRNA from 1 species
ACUUAAAGUAGCUCAUAACACCUUGCUCAGCCACACCCCCACGGGAAACAGCAGUGAUAAAAAUUAAGCAAUAGAUGAAAGUCUGACUAAGUUAUAUUUAUUAAGGACUGGUAAAUCUCGUGCCAGCCACCGCGGUCAUACGAUUAGACCAAACUAAUAGACAAUCGGCGUAAAGUGUGUUUUAGAGAACAACCAGAUAAUAAAGUCAAGCCUCAACUAGGCUGUAGAAAGCCCUAGUUAUUGUAAGAUAUUCAACGAAAGUGACUUUAGAGUUUCUGACUACACGAUAGCUAAGACCCAAACUGGGAUUAGAUACCCCACUAUGCUUAGCCUUAAACAUAGAAAAUUAUUAACAAAAUUAUUCGCCAGAGUACUACCAGCAAAAGCUAGAAACUCAAAGGACUUGGCGGUGCCUUAUAUCCCUCUAGAGGAGCCUGUUCUAUAAUCGAUAAACCCCGAUACACCUUACCAAUCCUUGCCAAAUCAGCCUAUAUACCGCCAUCUUCAGCAAACCCUACUAAAGGAAUUAUAGUAAGCACAAAUAUCAACAUAAAAACGUUAGGUCAAGGUGUAGCCUAUGGAUUGGAAAGCAAUGGGCUACAUUUCCCGAGCAGGGAUAAUUACUACGAAAACUCAUGUGAAACCAUUAGCCAAAGGAGGAUUUAGCAGUAAAUUAAGAAUAGAGUGCUUAAUUGAAUAAGGCCAUGAGGCACGCACACACCGCCCGUCACCCUCCUCAAGCAAAGAUAUUAUCUAUUCCAUAAAUCCCGA